rnacentral:rRNA from 1 species
CGGGGGUGAAGCUCGUGGAACGAGCGGCGGACGGGUGAGUAACACGUGGGCAACCUACCUGUAAGAUCGGAAUAACCCCGGGAAACCGGGGCUAAUGCCGGGUAACACUUUCCUUCGCAUGAAGGAGAGUUAAAAGAUGGCUUCUUGCUAUCACUUACAGAUGGGCCCGCGGCGCAUUAGCUAGUUGGUGAGGUAACGGCUCACCAAGGCGACGAUGCGUAGCCGACCUGAGAGGGUGAUCGGCCACACUGGGACUGAGACACGGCCCAGACUCCUACGGGAGGCAGCAGUAGGGAAUCUUCCGCAAUGGACGAAAGUCUGACGGAGCAACGCCGCGUGAACGAUGAAGGUUUUCGGAUCGUAAAGUUCUGUUGUUAGGGAAGAACAAGUACCGUGCGAAUAGAGCGGUACCUUGACGGUACCUAACGAGGAAGCCCCGGCUAACUACGUGCCAGCAGCCGCGGUAAUACGUAGGGGGCAAGCGUUGUCCGGAAUUAUUGGGCGUAAAGCGCGCGCAGGCGGUUCCUUAAGUCUGAUGUGAAAGCCCACGGCUCAACCGUGGAGGGUCAUUGGAAACUGGGGAACUUGAGGACAGAAGAGGAGAGUGGAAUUCCACGUGUAGCGGUGAAAUGCGUAGAUAUGUGGAGGAACACCAGUGGCGAAGGCGACUCUCUGGUCUGUCUCUGACGCUGAGGUGCGAAAGCGUGGGUAGCAAACAGGAUUAGAUACCCUGGUAGUCCACGCCGUAAACGAUGAGUGCUAGG